AUUGAACGCUGGCGGCAUGCCUAAUACAUGCAAGUCGAGCGAACUUUUGGUACUUGCCCCCUCACUUUUCGCCGCACGGGUGUGUAAUGCCUAUGAAUCUCCCCCUUAUCAGGCUACAACGACUUCAAACACCCGCUGCUACCGCAUACUCCCUUUGGGGAACACCUGGGCUUCCUUUAAACCUUGCCCUUUUGCUUCCGCUUAGGUCUGAUUAGCCAGUUGGUGGGGUAAAGGCCUACCAAGGCGACGAUCUGUAGCGGGUCUGAGAGGAUGAUCGGCCACACUGGAACUGAGACACGGUCCAGACUCCUACGGGAGGCAGCAGUGGGGAAUAUUGGACAAUGGGCGAAAGCCUGAUGCAGCAAUGCCGCGUGUGUGAAGAAGGCCUUUGGGUUGUAAAGCACUGUAAGCGAGGAGGAGGCAGAACUGGUUAAUAACUGGGAUAAGUGGACGGUACUUGCAGAAUAAGCAACGGCUAACUCUGUG
rnacentral:rRNA from 1 species